rnacentral:rRNA from 1 species
GGGACUUCGGGGUAGUGGCGCACGGGUGCGUACGCGUGGGAACCUGCCUUUAGGUUCGGAAUAACUCAGAGAAAUUUGAGCUAAUACCGGAUAAUGUCUUCGGACCAAAGAUUUAUCGCCUUUAGGUGGGCCCGCGUUAGAUUAGAUAGUUGGUGGGGUAAUGGCCUACCAAGUCGACGAUCUAUAGCUGGUCUGAGAGGAUGAUCAGCCACACCGGGACUGAGACACGGCCCAGACUCCUACGGGAGGCAGCAGUGGGGAAUAUUGGACAAUGGGCGAAAGCCUGAUCCAGCAAUGCCGCGUGAGUGAUGAAGGCCUUAGGGUUGUAAAGCUCUUUUACCAGGGAUGAUAAUGACAGUACCUGGAGAAUAAGCUCCGGCUAACUCCGUGCCAGCAGCCGCGGUAAUACGGAGGGAGCUAGCGUUGUUCGGAAUUACUGGGCGUAAAGCGCGCGUAGGCGGCUUUUCAAGUCAGGGGUGAAAUCCCGGGGCUCAACCUCGGAACUGCCCUUGAAACUGGAUGGCUAGAAUACUGGAGAGGUGAGUGGAAUUCCGAGUGUAGAGGUGAAAUUCGUAGAUAUUCGGAAGAACACCAGUGGCGAAGGCGACUCACUGGACAGUUAUUGACGCUGAGGUGCGAAAGCGUGGGGA